AAGGCCCUCUGGGUUGUAAACUUCUUUUAUCUGGGACGAAAAAAGGGCAUUCUUGCUCACUUGACGGUACCAGAGGAAUAAGCACCGGCUAACUCCGUGC
rnacentral:rRNA from 1 species